rnacentral:rRNA from 1 species
AUUUCAAGGAAAAUCGCCUUGAAUACACCAGUUCUCGUCAGAUCACUGGAGUUAAGCAACGUCGAGCGUGGAUACCAUUCAAAUUUAACAGGUUGUGGGUUGGGGGAACGGCGGGCUAGAAAGA